UUUUCCCUUUCGAGCCAUUGUGCUUAACUGAAUUUUAUAAAGCUGAUCGAUAUCUUGGUAAAAUAUUCAUUUUUAAACUAGCGGGCAGUGAAAUCUUUGCUUUGUGCUAAAGUCAACAGUCGCACAAUUUGAGCUCCAAUAAAUGCCGCGAUGCCACUAGUCGUGGCAGUUGCUCGAGGCUGCUUAAUGCUGGAUUGUCAUCGCCAUGUGCAGCUCAGGGGGCAGCAGGCUAACCUCCCGCUGAAGAGAAGGAAGGAUUGGUUUUCCUCUCAGUCACACCGGUUACUGGUGUGAAUUCCCCCGAUUCCAGCAAUUUGAUGUACUGUGAAAUCCUGGGAGUGGUUCCAGGCUCGGCCCCUGGGUGAGGGAUCGGGCCCCUCCCAUUGUGAUAAAACCCGACACAAGCCAUUCUGCCGAAGACAAGGAGAUUUCUCUGCAAACGCGACCCCGUUUUGGAAGGAAGACUCGUGUAAAAGCGUAGCCGGCACUUGGAAUACAGUGAAGCGAAUGAAUCCUUGGGACCUUCACAGCAAAGUGGAGAGGAGACAGCUGAGGGGCUGGGUUUUGGGAGCUGUGCCCCCCCCCAGUGAUGGCUGCUGAGUUCCCUUUUCUUCUCUGUGCAAGUAAGUCGGCCUCAGAGCAGAGCGAGGAUCUGGAAUUGUAAAGGGACCAGCAGGGAACUGACCAGGGAAUAGUUUUCACUCAAUUCCCACGUUCUCUCGGAUUUCUCUCCUUAUUCCCUGGAGAGCCACCAUUCCCCCCAGCCUGUUAACCGGGGACAAUGAGUGAGAGCCUCGUUUAAUUUAAUUUUCCUGUCAGCCUAAACAGAACUACAUUGUGAACCUUACACCGACUCAUACAGAGCGGGGCUGCUUGGUGUCGCCAUGUGCACCAGAAAACCCCCAAAGAGACAUUGUUCUGGGAACUCCAGGCUGGCAUCAGGCUAGAACCCAAUGAUGUUUUCCAUUUGAGAAGGUGCCCCAAUUGUCAUUGAUACAUAGCAAUCGUAGAUCCAGCACCAGGCUGUAAUACCGGGCAUGGGGCUACACACCAACCCAAACCUGCAAACCCCUAGAGGGGAAAGGAAGAGAGAGAUAACAAAGGAGGACACUGUAGAUGAGCCCAAUCAGAACUAUUCAACACAAACGUGUCCAGACAGCAUGUGACACAACCUGGGAUAUAGAACGAUAUUUUCCUCAGUGCAGAUGAUGGAUGGUUACAUUUGCCAUUCCACCCCUCCAGUGGGGUUCAUUUGAAAGGACUGAGUAAGAUGUCUUGGAAAUGCAGCAUUGUUGAAUUAUUCUGCCAUCGAGGACCCGACCCUGACACACCCAGGCAAUAACAAAACUCCCAUUGACUUCAAAUAGUAGAAAGGAUCGGGUCCCCUAGCUCCCAGCAGAAUAGCUUGCUGCUAAGUUCUUUUCUGCCCUAGUGAAUUUUAUCACUGUUUGUCCUUCUCGGUGGGGGGGAAAAAGUAUCACUUUAUAGAAAUACUACUUCCAUGUUUGCUGUUUGAAUCAACUUUAGUGUUUCCAGGAAGCCUUGUAUUGACAUAUCUUCACCACAGCCAUUCCCAGCCCUUAAAUUAGUUGAAAAUAGAGGCUUAUCAGUCUAAAAAGUAAUAAGUGGUCAGCAGCAAAGAUAUGAAUGUGUUUAUUGCCCCAUCAUCCAGUAUCUCAGCCUAGGAAAAGAAAAGAAACAGCUUGUGUUUGUAGAAAUGCCUCCUGCUUUCAUCAUUUAAAGGAAGGGCUACCUAGGAAAAGUGACAGUCUUAUUAAUAUCCUUUGUGUGAUUUCAAAAUGAACAGUAGGAACUUGAAUUAAGUAACUGUUUUUAGUGCACAUAUGUUUCCUUUUAAUAUCUCUGCUCUCUUCUGUACUGCAGACAUUAAUCUCGUAAAUGCUUUUUUUAUUACAGUCAGACUAAUUUCAGCCCAGACUGUUCAGUUAAUUGACAACUGACGUGACAUAGGGUACUUAAUGUGUCUCUUUGUGUUCUUGGGUUCAUGCAGCAAUAUUUUGGGUGUCUCCCUGAGACAUGAAAUGCAUUUCUAAACUUUAAGGUUCUGUUCAUAAAUGCAUUUGAAAUACAUUUGACAUGAUCACUACAUGCAGUGACAAUCUCUAAUUGUGUAAUGCAUUUUAAACCAGGCAUGCUACUGCAAACUGCUAGAAAGGACGGCAUGUGUAGAUAUUACAGAAAUAUGCCUACACUGGUCUAAAAUGUGAUUUUUCUGUAAUAAAGCGUGCUGUUAACAAUCCAGAAAAUUGACUAAAUACAAAAUGGAAUCUCAUAUAAAUUUUUACUGCAUGCAGGAUGUAAGUUCUUGUGGACACUAAGAUAUCUUUACACCUCUAUGGGAGUGUGAAAUGGCCUUACUGACGUGUGCAUACAUUAUCCCUUCCCACAGCCCGUGCUUUAAGGCAUAUUUACAUUGCCAGCAUGGUGGAAGUGGAACUUCCUGUAAAUGAGAAUCGGGCCCAAUAUGUAUAACAGAGCAAUUCACUGCACUCUACAGAGAUACUUCUUGAGACGCACUUCCUUUCUAGACAUCUUUUAAAUGUAAAGAUUAUCAGAACAAAAAUGAUUUCUCUCACUUCAGCUGGAAGGAAAGAAGAAAGCUGAGUAAAUAUGUGUUACAUAGAGUGAAUUAGAAUAAAUGUGAUGUUUUGGCUGUGAUUCCAGUUUCAGACUGAGGACAUAAAUAUGAAACAAGGUUAGAGUAAACCCAUUGCAAUUUAGGAUAAUGAUAAAUUAAUUGGUAUGUAUUAAUCUUCAUGUUUCUUAUUUUAAUAAUCCCAGAAGAAGUCUAUGGUAGGUAUAAGCAUUGUAGAAAAUAUGUAACUAACUGAUGUUAUUGCUGCUGUAUGUAUUUCUUAUUAAAUUCCCAAAUACCAUCUCA